GUCUAGAUCACCUGGGGAUCUUGUUAAAUUAGUUUCUAUUCUAGAAGGUCUGAGGUAGGACUGAGUUUCUGUAUUUCUAACAAGAUAUCAGGUGAUGCCAAU
rnacentral:pre_miRNA from 1 species